AGAGUUUGAUCCUGGCUCAGGAUGAACGCUAGCGGCAGGCCUAACACAUGCAAGUCGAGGGGUAACAGGAUUUAGUUUACUAGAUUGCUGACGACCGGCGCACGGGUGCGUAACGCGUAUACAAUUUACCUUAUACAGGAGGAUAGCCUUUAGAAAUGAAGAUUAAUACUCCAUGGUAUUAUGAAGUGGCAUCACUUUAUAAUUAAAGAUUUAUCGGUAUAAGAUGAGUAUGCGUCCUAUUAGCUAGUUGGUGAGGUAACGGCUCACCAAGGCGACGAUAGGUAGGGGUCCUGAGAGGGAGAUCCCCCACACUGGUACUGAGACACGGACCAGACUCCUACGGGAGGCAGCAGUGAGGAAUAUUGGGCAAUGGAGGCAACUCUGACCCAGCCAUGCCGCGUGCAGGAAGACGGCCCUAUGGGUUGUAAACUGCUUUUAUAGAGGAAGAAACCUUGGGACGUGUCCCGAGCUGACGGUACUCUACGAAUAAGCACCGGCUAACUCCGUGCCAGCAGCCGCGGUAAUACGGAGGGUGCAAGCGUUAUCCGGAAUCAUUGGGUUUAAAGGGUCCGUAGGCGGGCGAUUAAGUCAGAGGUGAAAUCCCACAGCUCAACUGUGGAACUGCCUUUGAUACUGGUUGUCUUGAGUUAUAGUGAAGUAGAUAGAAUGUGUAGUGUAGCGGUGAAAUGCUUAGAUAUUACACGGAAUACCGAUUGCGAAGGCAGUCUACUAACUAUUAACUGACGCUAAUGGACGAAAGCGUGGGGAGCGAACAGGAUUAGAUACCCUGGUAGUCCACGCCGUAAACGAUGGUCACUAGUUGUUGGUUGUACAUUGGUAUGAUCAGUGAUUAAGCGAAAGUGAUAAGUGACCCACCUGGGGAGUACGCUCGCAAGAGUGAAACUCAAAUGAAUUGACGG
rnacentral:rRNA from 1 species